rnacentral:lncRNA from 1 species
GGGAACUAUUUUCUCCUCUGUUGGGGGGCCGGGAAGAGUGACAGAAAUGCAUCUAGGUCCCUGAUGUAGGCAAGAUACAUUCAAAUACCACACUUAAGCCUCCUACGGCUGACAAGAGCCCUGAGUCCCCAGCUAUGGGACAGUCAGCCACUGCCCAGUCUGACAGUAUUUGUGGACUGGCUGCAGGACGGGAUGGGCAGGGCCAUAGACAGCAACUCUCCUGAAACACACACACGGUUCCCUUCAGAGGCAAUGUGGCUGGCAAGGGAAGGCCUCUCUGAUCUGCGGUCUACUCUCCUCUCACAGUGCCUUCGACCAUCCGUGCCAGAACUUCGGGGGCCAUCCUCGUGGGAACUUUCCCCAUCUCCAGGAUGCACUGAUGCUCCAGGGACCCAUGUCGUCCGUGCAUGUGCAGAUGACUUCUGUGACACUGAAAUGGCAGUCAUGUCCUGCCCAUGCCCCACUUGGGGGCCAUGAAUGCAGCGAGCCCGAGCCCGAGCCCGGAGGGUCUGCCCUUUACCUGGCCAGAGCUCUGCGAGCCUUGGAGGGCAAUCCUGAUGGAGCUGAGGAGGACAUCCUCUGGAAGCAGAUUGUCAUCACUGCCCCCCUGCACAGAGGACAACCUCGGGCCCGACCACCUGGGCGAGGAGUUCCCAUUCUCCUCUGGGCUUGGAAUGCACGACCAUACCGUGAGGCCCACACAACUCGUCCUGCACAGGCUCCUCACCGGGUGAGAACCAGGCCCCUUCCACAUCCAUGACUCACUCCACAUUUCUUGUUCACUGGGUCCGUCAACUCCCUUCUCGCAUCUCCCCUCGUCCGUCAGGUGGUAGGAGUGAGGGGACACACACCACGGGUUCCUAUGCAGAACCUAAGCACAUUAGCUAGGGAUAGUUGAAACCAGGUCUGAUGGGCUGACCGAGGCCCAGGGGCUUAUCAGAUUGUUUUCUUCCCUCUGCUGGGGAGCGUCUGUCACAGCCUUCAACACCCUCUCGGAAGGGACACGACUCUUUCCCAUGUUGAAAGAAUGUGGAGAAAUCCGUCCCGGAGGUCCCAUCUGAAUUCCUAGGAGAGCAGCGUUCUCUGGGCUUUCAGAGGGUUGUCCAGACCCACUGUGACAUGGGGAAAAGUGAUCGUGGAGCACAACUGACAAAUAGAUUCUGCCUACCUAUAUGUGGAGGGACAUUGACAGAUUUAGCUUCGCUGGAGGAAUGAAGCAGAAAAAUUGUCUGCCCCCUGAGCAUGCACUCCCGUAGGGCGUCAGAAGCUACACUUGAUCUCAUGAGCAUGGGGGUCCACAGCAAGUUGGUGUGAUGGUCACGGCUCUCUCUGGGUAUGGGCAAGUCCUCCUGGUUUGUCAAGGAGAUGAAAACACUGGGC